UAAGAGGCUUUUAUAAAAGCCAUAUUUAAAUAUAUUGAAUUAUUAU
rfam:Physcomitrella patens subsp. patens PHYPAscaffold_23 genomic scaffold, whole genome shotgun sequence.